GACGAACGCUGGCGGCGUGCUUAACACAUGCAAGUCGAACGGAAAGGCCCUGCUUGCCGGGUACUCGAGUGGCGAACGGGUGAGUAACACGUGGGUGAUCUGCCCUGCACUUCGGGAUAAGCCUGGGAAACUGGGUCUAAUACCGGAUAGGAGCCAUUUUUAGUGUGAUGGUUGGAAAGUUUUUUCGGUGUAGGAUGAGCUCGCGGCCUAUCAGCUUGUUGGUGGGGUAAUGGCCUACCAAGGCGGCGACGGGUAGCCGGCCUGAGAGGGUGGACGGCCACAUUGGGACUGAGAUACGGCCCAGACUCCGACGGGAGGCAGCAGUGGGGAAUAUUGCACAAUGGGCGCAAGCCUGAUGCAGCGACGCCGCGGGGGGGAUGACGGCCUUCGGGUUGUAAACUCCUUUCGCUAGGGACGAAGCUUUUUGUGACGGUACCUAGAGAAGAAGCACCGGCUAACUACGUG
rnacentral:rRNA from 1 species